rnacentral:tmRNA from 1 species
GGGGGUGACUGGUUUCGACAGGGUAUGUCUGAGGUGGGCAGCAAGCCGUGGUCUCCUCGCCACGUUAAACAGGGGUACCGUCAAAUUUAAUUGACAAUGAUUCUUAUCAGGGCUCUUACGCCCUCGCUGCUUAAUUUUAACUAGCAGCCGUCUAACCGGGAUUUCUCCCGCUCUCGGGGCGACGUCAUCUUAGGGAGAUGCUCGUGCGGAUGUGGUUGGUAUGCCGCACGCAAAGACCAAACCAGCUGGGACGCCGAUCGCGGGUCACGGGGCCUGACGCGUCCGAGACUUGAUACGUGACUGUGCUUGGAGACACCUGCCAGGGAUGUGCUUUGGACCGGAGUUCGAUUCUCCGCACCUCCACCA